UACGUAGGGUGCAAGCGUUAAUCGGAAUUACUGGGCGUAAAGCGUACGCAGGCGGCUAUGUAAGACAGGUGUGAAAUCCCCGGGCUUAACCUGGGAAUUGCGCUUGAAACUAGCGGGCUUGAGUGCGGCAGAGGGGGGUGGAAUUCCACGUGUAGCAGUGAAAUGCGUAGAGAUGUGGAGGAACACCGAUGGCGAAGGCAGCCCCCUGGGCCAAUACUGACGCUCAUGCACGAAAGCGUGGGUAGCAAACAGG
rnacentral:rRNA from 1 species